GGAUUAAGCAGGAGGUUGCAGCCUGAGAAGAGGACAAGCACUGGCUAUAGCCAUAGGGUGCAGCAUAAACUAUGCAAUCAGCUGAGGUGAGAGGAGUCCUAGGGAAACAGACAUCAUACAUGGUCUCGUCUGGCAGGAGGGACCCGAAUUCCGACUCAGAUGGAACGCAAGCUCAUGGUUGCCUUGGUUACUAGGAUUGCGCUGCCUGGAAGUUCAACGGCGGGGAACUUAUGGUGGGCUGAGCAUGGCAGAAAGGGAUAUCCUUUAGGAUGGACGACAACUCUAAAGAAUUCAUACAAAUUUUUAUUGUGAAGACUGCGCUUAUUUUGGACUACUCAUAUUUUGAUUAUGUUAUUUGGAGUUGUGGUGCACUCGUAUGUACUAAGCUGCGGUGUUGGGGCGCAGGUUGUUUAAACCAUUUAUUGUAUUUUUAUCAGUUUUAGACACACAGGCUGAUCA